rnacentral:lncRNA from 1 species
GAUCAAUGGCCACACAACCCCCAUUUUUGUCGAAAAUAGCCAUGAAUGACCAUUUUCAAAAAUACCAAAGGCUAACACGUACGGAUUUUUGACCAAGAAAUGGUCUCCACCAGAAAUCCAAGAAUGUGAUCUAUGGCAAGGAAACAUAUGUGGGGUGAGGUGUACGAGCCUCUGGUCGAUGAUGAAUGGCCACACAACCCCCAUUUUGCCGAAAAUAGCCAUGAACGACCAUUUUCAAUAAUACCGAAGGCUAACACGUACGAGUUUUUGACCAAGAAAUGGUCUCCACCAGAAAUCCAAGAAUGUGAUCUAUGGCAAGGAAACAUAUGUGGGGUGAGGUUUAUGAGCCUCUAGUCGAUGAUAAAUGGCCACACAACCCCCAUUUUUUAUGAAAAUAGCCAUGAGCGACCUUGAAAAUAGCCAUGAGCGACCAUUUUCAAUAAUACUAGAGGCUAACACCUACGGAUUUUAGACCAAGAAAUGGUCUCCACCAGAAAUCCAAGAAUGUGAUCUAUGGCAAGGAAACAUAUGUGGGUGUCGAAAAUAGCCAUGAACGACCAUUUUCAAUAAUACCGAAGGCUAACACCUACGGAUUUUUGACCAAGAAAUGGUCUCCACCAGAAAUCCAAGAAUGUGAUCUAUGGCAAGGAAACAUAUGUGGGGUGAGGUGUAUGAGCCUCUGGUCGAUGAUCAAUGGCCACACAACCCCCAUUUUUGUCGAAAAUAGCCAUGAACGACCAUUUUCAAUAAUACCGAAGGCUAACACCUACGGAUUUUUGACCAAGAAAUGGUCUCCACCAGAAAUCCAAGAAUGUGAUCUAUGGCAAGGAAACAUAUGUGGGGUGAGGUGUAUGAGCCUCUGGUCGAUGAUCAAUGGCCACACAACCCCCAUUUUUGUCGAAAAUAGCCAUGAAUGACCAUUUCAAUAAUACCGAAGGCUAACACCUACGGAUUUUUGACCAAGAAAUGGUCUCCACCAGAAAUCCAAGAAUGUGAUCUAUGGCAAGGAAACAUAUGUGGGGUGAGGUGUACGAGCCUCUGGUCGAUGAUCAAUGGCCACACAACCCCCAUUUUGCCGAAAAUAGCCAUGAACGACCAUUUUCAAUAAUACCGAAGGCUAACACGUACGAUUUUUGACCAAGAAAUGGUCUCCACCAGAAAUCCAAGAAUGUGAUCUAUGGCAAGGAAACAUAUGUGGGGUGAGGUGUAUGAGCGUCUGGUCGAUGAUCAAUGGCCACACAACCCCCAUUUUUGUCGAAAAUAGCCAUGAAUGACCAUUUUCAAUAAUACCGAAGGCUAACACCUACGGAUUUUUGACCAAGAAAUGGUCUCCACCAGAAAUCCAAGAAUGUGAUCUAUGGCAAGGAAACAUAUGUGGGGUGAGGUGUAUGAGCCUCUGUCGAUGAUCAAUGGCCACACAACCCCAUUUUUGUCGAAAAUAGCCAUGAACGACCAUUUUCAAUAACGAAGGCUAACACCUACGGAUUUUUGACCAAGAAAUGGUCUCCACCAAAAUCCAAGAAUGUGAUCUAUGGCAAGGAAACAUAUGUGGGGUGAGGUGUAUGAGCCUCUGGUCGAUGAUCAAUGGCCACACAACCCCCAUUUUUGUCGAAAAUAGCCAUGAAUGACCAUUUCAAUAAUACCGAAGGCUAACACCUACGGAUUUUUGACCAAGAAAUGGUCUCCACCAGAAAUCCAAGAAUGUGAUCUAUGGCAAGGAAACAUAUGUGGGGUGAGGUGUAUGAGCCUCUGGUCGAUGAUCAAUGGCCACACAACCCCCAUUUUUGUCGAAAAUAGCCAUGAACGACCAUUUUCAAUAAUACGAAGGCUAACACCUACGGAUUUUUGACCAAGAAAUGGUCUCCACCAGAAAUCCAAGAAUGUGAUCUAGACAAGGAAACAUAUGUGGGGUGAGGUGUAUGAGCCUCUGGUCGAGAUCAAUGGCCACACAACCCCCAUUUUGCCGAAAAUAGCCAUGAAUGACCAUUUUCAAUAAUACCGAAGGCUAACACGUACGAGUUUUUAACCAAGAAAUGGUCUCCACCAGAAAUCCAAGAAUGUAAUCUAUGGCAAGGAAACAUAUGUGGGGUGAGGUUUAUGAGCCUCUAGUCGAUGAUAAAUGGCCACACAACCCCCAUUUUUUAUGAAAAUAGCCAUGAGCGACCUUGAAAAUAGCCAUGAGCGACCAUUUUCAAUAAUACUAAAGGCUAACACCUACGGAUUUUAGACCAAGAAAUGGUCUCCACCAGAAAUCCAAGAAUGUGAUCUAUGGCAAGGAAACAUAUGUGGGGUGAGGUGUAUGAGCCUCUGGUCGAUGAUCAAUGGCCACACAACCCCCAUUUUUGUCGAAAAUAGCCAUGAACGACCAUUUUCAAUAAUACCGAAGGCUAACACCUACGGAUUUUUGACCAAGAAAUGGUCUCCACCAGAAAUCCAAGAAUGUGAUCUAUGGCAAGGAAACAUAUGUGGGGUGAGGUGUAUGAGCCUCUGGUCGACGAUCAAUGGCCACACAACCCUAAUUUUUGUCGAAAAUAGCCAUGAACGACCAUUUUCAAUGACACUGAAGGCUAACACCUACGGAUUUUUGACCAAGAAAUGGUCUCCACCAUAAAUCCAAGAAUGUGAUCUAUGGCAAGGAAACAUAUGUGUAGUGAGGUGUAUGAGCCUCUGGUCGAAGAUCAAUGGCCACACAACCCCCAUUUUUGUCGAAAAUAGCCAUGAAUGACCAUUUUCAAAAAUACCAAAGGCUAACACGUACGGAUUUUUGACCAAGAAAUGGUCUCCACCAGAAAUCCAAGAAUGUGAUCUAUGGCAAGGAAACAUAUGUGGGGUGAGGUGUACGAGCCUCUGGUCGAUGAUCAAUGGCCACACAACCCCCAUUUUGCCGAAAAUAGCCAUGAACGACCAUUUUCAAUAAUACCGAAGGCUAACACGUACGAGUUUUUAACCAAGAAAUGGUCUCCACCAGAAAUCCAAGAAUGUGAUCUAUGGCAAGGAAACAUAUGUGGGGUGAGGUUUAUGAGCCUCUAGUCGAUGAUAAAUGGCCACACAACCCCCAUUUUUUAUGAAAAUAGCCAUGAGCGACCUUGAAAAUAGCCAUGAGCGACCAUUUUCAAUAAUACUAGAGGCUAACACCUACGGAUUUUAGACCAAGAAAUGGUCUCCACCAGAAAUCCAAGAAUGUGAUCUAUGGCAAGGAAACAUAUGUGGGGUGAGGUGUAUGAGCGUCUGGUCGAUGAUCAAUGGCCACACAACCCCCAUUUUUGUCGAAAAUAGCCAUGAACGACCAUUUUCAAUAAUACCGAAGGCUAACACCUACGGAUUUUUGACCAAGAAAUGGUCUCCACCAGAAAUCCAAGAAUGUGAUCUAUGGCAAGGAAACAUAUGUGGGGUGAGGUGUAUGAGCCUCUGGUCGACGAUCAAUGGCCACACAACCCCAUUUUUGUCGAAAAUAGCCAUGAACGACCAUUUUCAAUAACUGAAGGCUAACACCUACGGAUUUUUGACCAAGAAAUGGUCUCCACCAAAAUCCAAGAAUGUGAUCUAUGACAAGGAAACAUAUGUGUAGUGAGGUGUAUGAGCCUCUGGUCGAAGAUCAAUGGCCACACAACCCCCAUUUUUGUCGAAAAUAGCCAUGAAUGACCAUUUUCAAAAUACCAAAGGCUAACACUACGGAUUUUUGACCAAGAAAUGGUCUCCACCAGAAAUCCAAGAAUGUGAUCUAUGGCAAGGAAACAUAUGUGGGGUGAGGUGUACGAGCCUCUGGUCGAUGAUCAAUGGCCACACAACCCCCAUUUUGCCGAAAAUAGCCAUGAACGACCAUUUUCAAUAAUACCGAAGGCUAACACGUACGAGUUUUUAACCAAGAAAUGGUCUCCACCAGAAAUCCAAGAAUGUGAUCUAUGGCAAGGAAACAUAUGUGGGGUGAGGUUUAUGAGCCUCUAGUCGAUGAUAAAUGGCCACACAACCCCCAUUUUUUAUGAAAAUAGCCAUGAGCGACCUUGAAAAUAGCCAUGAGCGACCAUUUUCAAUAAUACUAGAGGCUAACACCUACGGAUUUUAGACCAAGAAAUGGUCUCCACCAGAAAUCCAAGAAUGUGAUCUAUGGCAAGGAAACAUAUGUGGGGUGAGGUGUAUGAGCGUCUGGUCGAUGAUCAAUGGCCACACAACCCCCAUUUUUGUCGAAAAUAGCCAUGAACGACCAUUUUCAAUAAUACCGAAGGCUAACACCUACGGAUUUUUGACCAAGAAAUGGUCUCCACCAGAAAUCCAAGAAUGUGAUCUAUGGCAAGGAAACAUAUGUGGGGUGAGGUGUAUGAGCCUCUGGUCGAUGAUCAAUGGCCACACAACCCCAUUUUUGUCGAAAAUAGCCAUGAACGACCAUUUUCAAUAAUACGAAGGCUAACACCUACGGAUUUUUGACCAAGAAAUGGUCUCCACCAAAAUCCAAGAAUGUGAUCUAUGCAAGGAAACAUAUGUGGGUGAGGUGUAUGAGCCUCUGGUCGAAGAUCAAUGGCCACACAACCCCCAUUUUUGUCGAAAAUAGCCAUGAAUGACCAUUUUCAAAAUACCAAGGCUAACACUACGGAUUUUUGACCAAGAAAUGGUCUCCACCAGAAAUCCAAGAAUGUGAUCUAUGGCAAGGAAACAUAUGUGGGGUGAGGUGUACGAGCCUCUGGUCGAUGAUCAAUGGCCACACAACCCCCAUUUUGCCGAAAAUAGCCAUGAAUGACCAUUUUCAAUAAUACCGAAGGCUAACACGUACGAGUUUUUGACCAAGAAAUGGUCUCCACCAAAAUCCAAGAAUGUGAUCUAUGGCAAGGAAACAUAUGUGGGGUGAGGUUUAUGAGCCUCUAGUCGAUGAUAAAUGGCCACACAACCCCCAUUUUUUAUGAAAAUAGCCAUGAGCGACCAUUUUCAAUAAUAUAGAGGCUAAACCUACGGAUUUUUGACCAAGAAAUGGUCUCCACCAGAAAUCCAAGAAUGUGAUCUAUGGCAAGGAAACAUAUGUGGGGUGAGGUGUAUGAGCCUCUGGUCGAUGAUCAAUGGCCACACAACCCCAUUUUUGUCGAAAAUAGCCAUGAACGACCAUUUUCAAUAAUACCGAAGGCUAACACCUACGGAUUUUUGACCAAGAAAUGGUCUCCACCAGAAAUCCAAGAAUGUGAUCUAUGGCAAGGAAACAUAUGUGGGGUGAGGUGUAUGAGCCUCUGGUCGAUGAUCAAUGGCCACACAACCCCCAUUUUUGUCGAAAAUAGCCAUGAACGACCAUUUUCAAUAAUAUCGAAGGCUAACACCUACGGAUUUUUGACCAAGAAAUGGUCUCCACCAGAAAUCCAAGAAUGUGAUCUACGACAAGGAAACAUAUGUGGGUGAGGUGUAUGAGCCUCUGGUCGACGAUCAAUGGCCACACAACCCCCAUUUUGCCGAAAAUAGCCAUGAAUGACCAUUUUCAAUAAUACCGAAGGCUAACACGUACGAGUUUUUAACCAAGAAAUGGUUUCCACCAGAAAUCCAAGAAUGUAAUCUAUGGCAAGGAAACAUAUGUGGGGUGAGGUGUACGAGCCUCUGGUCGAUGAUCAAUGGCCACACAACCCCCAUUUUGCCGAAAAUAGCCAUGAACGACCAUUUUCAAUAAUACCGAAGGCUAACACGUACGAGUUUUUGACCAAGAAAUGGUCUCCACCAGAAAUCCAAGAAUGUGAUCUAUGGCAAGGAAACAUAUGUGGGGUGAGGUUAUGAGCCUCUAGUCGAUGAUAAAUGGCCACACAACCCCCAUUUUUUAUGAAAAUAGCCAUGAGCGACCAUUUUCAAUAAUACUAGAGGCUAACACCUACGGAUUUUUUACCAAGAAAUGGUCUCCACCAGAAAUCCAAGAAUGUGAUCUAUGGCAAGGAAACAUAUGUGGGGUGAGGUGUAUGAGCCUCUGGUCGAUGAUCAAUGGCCACACAACCCCCAUUUUUGUCGAAAAUAGCCAUGAACGACCAUUUUCAAUAAUACCGAAGGCUAACACCUACGGAUUUUUGACCAAGAAAUGGUCUCCACCAGAAAUCCAAGAAUGUGAUCUAUGGCAAGGAAACAUAUGUGGGGUGAGGUGUAUGAGCCUCUGGUCGAUGAUCAAUGGCCACACAACCCCCAUUUUUGUCGAAAAUAGCCAUGAACGACCAUUUUCAAUAAUACGAAGGCUAACACCUACGGAUUUUUGACCAAGAAAUGGUCUCCACCAGAAAUCCAAGAAUGUGAUCUAUGGCAAGGAAACAUAUGUGGGGUGAGGUGUAUGAGCCUCUGGUCGACGAUCAAUGGCCACACAACCCUAUUUUUGUCGAAAAUAGCCAUGAACGACCAUUUUCAAUGACACUGAAGGCUAACACCUACGGAUUUUUGACCAAGAAAUGGUCUCCACCAUAAAUCCAAGAAUGUGAUCUAUGGCAAGGAAACAUAUGUGUAGUGAGGUGUAUGAGCCUCUGGUCGAAGAUCAAUGGCCACACAACCCCCAUUUUUGUCGAAAAUAGCCAUGAAUGACCAUUUUCAAAAAUACCAAAGGCUAACACAUUCGGAUUUUUGCCCAAGAAAUGGUCUCCACCAGAAAUCCAAGAAUGUGAUCUAUGGCAAGGAAACAUAUGUGGGGUGAGGUGUACGAGCCUCUGGUCGAUGAUCAAUGGCCACAAACCCCCAUUUUGCCGAAAAUAGCCAUGAAUGACCAUUUUCAAUAAUACCGAAGGCUAACACGUACGAGUUUUUGACCAAGAAAUGGUCUCCACCAAAAAUCCAAGAAUGUGAUCUAUGGCAAGGAAACAUAUGAGGGGUGAGGUUUAUGAGCCUCUAGUCGAUGAUAAAUGGCCACACAACCCCCAUUUUUUAUGAAAAUAGCCAUGAGCGACCAUUUUCAAUAAUAUUAGAGGCUAAGACCUACGGAUUUUUGACCAAGAAAUGGUCUCCACCAGAAAUCUAAGAAUGUGAUCUAUGGCAAGGAAACAUAUGUGGGGUGAGGUGUAUGAGCCUCUGGUCGAUGAUCAAUGGCCACACAACCCCAUUGUUGUCGAAAAUAGCCAUGAAUGACCAUUUCAAUAAUACCGAAGGCUAACACCUACGGAUUUUUGACCAAGAAAUGGUCUCCACCAGAAAUCCAAGAAUGUGAUCUAUGGCAAGGAAACAUAUGUGGGGUGAGGUGUAUGAGCCUCUGGUCGAUGAUCAAUGGCCACACAACCCCCAUUUUUGUCGAAAAUGCCAUGAACGACCAUUUUCAAUAAUAUCGAAGGCUAACACCUACGGAUUUUUGACCAAGAAAUGGUCUCCACCAGAAAUCCAAGAAUGUGAUCUACGACAAGGAAACAUAUGUGGGGUGAGGUGUAUGAGCCUCUGGUCGACGAUCAAUGGCCACACAACCCCCAUUUUGCCGAAAAUAGCCAUGAAUGACCAUUUUCAAUAAUACCGAAGGCUAACACGUACGAGUUUUUAACCAAGAAAUGGUUCCACCAGAAAUCCAAGAAUGUAAUCUAUGGCAAGGAAACAUAUGUGGGGUGAGGUGUACGAGCCUCUGGUCGAUGAUCAAUGGCCACACAACCCCCAUUUUGCCGAAAAUAGCCAUGAACGACCAUUUUCAAUAAUACCGAAGGCUAACACGUACGAUUUUUGACCAAGAAAUGGUCUCCACCAAAAUCCAAGAAUGUGAUCUAUGGCAAGGAAACAUAUGUGGGGUGAGUUUAUGAGCCUCUAGUCGAUGAUAAAUGGCCACACAACCCCCAUUUUUUAUGAAAAUAGCCAUGAGCGACCAUUUUCAAUAAUAUAGAGGCUAACACCUACGGAUUUUUGACCAAGAAAUGGUCUCCACCAGAAAUCCAAGAAUGUGAUCUAUGGCAAGGAAACAUAUGUGGGGUGAGGUGUAUGAGCCUCUGGUCGAUGAUCAAUGGCCACACAACCCCCAUUUUUGUCGAAAAUAGCCAUGAAUGACCAUUUCAAUAAUACCGAAGGCUAACACCUACGGAUUUUUGACCAAGAAAUGGUCUCCACCAGAAAUCCAAGAAUGUGAUCUAUGGCAAGGAAACAUAUGUGGGGUGAGGUGUAUGAGCCUCUGGUCGAUGAUCAAUGGCCACACAACCCCCAUUUUUGUCGAAAAUAGCCAUGAACGACCAUUUUCAAUAAUACGAAGGCUAACACCUACGGAUUUUUGACCAAGAAAUGGUCUCCACCAGAAAUCCAAGAAUGUGAUCUACGACAAGGAAACAUAUGUGGGGUGAGGUGUAUGAGCCUCUGGUCGACGAUCAAUGGCCACACAACCCCCAUUUUGCCGAAAAUAGCCAUGAAUGACCAUUUUCAAUAAUACCGAAGGCUAACACGUACGAUUUUUAACCAAGAAAUGGUUCCACCAGAAAUCCAAGAAUGUAAUCUAUGGCAAGGAAACAUAUGUGGGGUGAGGUUUAUGAGCCUCUAGUCGAUGAUAAAUGGCCACACAACCCCCAUUUUUAUGAAAAUAGCCAUGACGAAAAUAGCCAUGAACGACCAUUUUCAAUAAUACUAGAGGCUAACACCUACGGAAUUUUGACCAAGAAAUGGUCUCCACCAGAAAUCCAAGAAUGUGAUCUAUGGCAAGGAAACAUAUGUGGGGUGAGGUGUAUGAGCCUCUGGUCGAUGAUCAAUGGCCACACAACCCCCAUUUUGUCGAAAAUAGCCAUGAAUGACCAUUUUCAAUAAUACCGAAGGCUAACACUACGAUUUUUGACCAAGAAAUGGUCUCCACCAGAAAUCCAAGAAUGUGAUCUAUGGCAAGGAAACAUAUGUGGGGUGAGGUGUAUGAGCCUCUGGUCGAUGAUCAAUGGCCACACAACCCCCAUUUUUGUCGAAAAUAGCCAUGAACGACCAUUUUCAAUAAUACUGAAGGCUAACACCUACGGAUUUUUGACCAAGAAAUGGUCUCCACCAGAAAUCCAAGAAUGUGAUCUAUGGCAAGGAAACAUAUGUGGGGUGAGGUGUAUGAGCCUCUGGUCGAUGAUCAAUGGCCACACAACCCCCAUUUUUGUCGAAAAUAGCCAUGAACGACCAUUUUCAAUAAUACGAAGGCUAACACCUACGGAUUUUUGACCAAGAAAUGGUCUCCACCAGAAAUCCAAGAAUGUGAUCUAUGGCAAGGAAACAUAUGUGGGGUGAGGUGUAUGAGCCUCUGGUCGAUGAUCAAUGGCCACACAACCCCAUUUUUGUCGAAAAUAGCCAUGAACGACCAUUUUCAAUAAUACGAAGGCUAACACCUACGGAUUUUUGACCAAGAAAUGGUCUCCACCAGAAAUCCAAGAAUGUGAUCUAUGGCAAGGAAACAUAUGUGGGGUGAGGUGUAUGAGCCUCUGGUCGAUGAUCAAUGGCCACACAACCCCCAUUUUUGUCGAAAAUAGCCAUGAAUGACCAUUUUCAAUAAUACCAAGGCUAACACUACGGAUUUUUGACCAAGAAAUGGUCUCCACCAGAAAUCCAAGAAUGUGAUCUAUGGCAAGGAAACAUAUGUGGGGUGAGGUGUAUGAGCCUCUGGUCGAUGAUCAAUGGCCACACAACCCCCAUUUUGCCGAAAAUAGCCAUGAACGACCAUUUUCAAUAAUACCGAAGGCUAACACGUACGAUUUUUGACCAAGAAAUGGUCUCCACCAGAAAUCCAAGAAUGUGAUCUAUGGCAAGGAAACAUAUGUGGGGUGAGGUGUAUGAGCCUCUGGUCGAUGAUCAAUGGCCACACAACCCCCAUUUUUGUCGAAAAUAGCCAUGAACGACCAUUUUCAAUAAUACGAAGGCUAACACCUACGGAUUUUUGACCAAGAAAUGGUCUCCACCAGAAAUCCAAGAAUGUGAUCUAUGGCAAGGAAACAUAUGUGGGGUGAGGUGUAUGAGCCUCUGGUCGAUGAUCAAUGGCCACACAACCCCCAUUUUUGUCGAAAAUAGCCAUGAACGACCAUUUUCAAUAAUACCGAAGGCUAACACCUACGGAUUUUUGACCAAGAAAUGGUCUCCACCAGAAAUCCAAGAAUGUGAUCUAUGGCAAGGAAACAUAUGUGGGGUGAGGUGUAUGAGCCUCUGGUCGAUGAUCAAUGGCCACACAACCCCAUUUUUGUCGAAAAUAGCCAUGAACGACCAUUUUCAAUAAUACGAAGGCUAACACCUACGGAUUUUUGACCAAGAAAUGGUCUCCACCAGAAAUCCAAGAAUGUGAUCUAUGGCAAGGAAACAUAUGUGGGGUGAGGUGUAUGAGCCUCUGGUCGAUGAUCAAUGGCCACACAACCCCCAUUUUUGUCGAAAAUAGCCAUGAAUGACCAUUUUCAAUAAUACCGAAGGCUAACACUACGGAUUUUUGACCAAGAAAUGGUCUCCACCAGAAAUCCAAGAAUGUGAUCUAUGGCAAGGAAACAUAUGUGGGGUGAGGUGUAUGAGCCUCUGGUCGAUGAUCAAUGGCCACACAACCCCCAUUUUGUCCGAAAAUAGCCAUGAACGACCAUUUUCAAUAAUACCGAAGGCUAACACUACGAUUUUUGACCAAGAAAUGGUCUCCACCAGAAAUCCAAGAAUGUGAUCUAUGGCAAGGAAACAUAUGUGGGGUGAGGUGUAUGAGCCUCUGGUCGAUGAUCAAUGGCCACACAACCCCCAUUUUUGUCGAAAAUAGCCAUGAACGACCAUUUUCAAUAAUACGAAGGCUAACACCUACGGAUUUUUGACCAAGAAAUGGUCUCCACCAGAAAUCCAAGAAUGUGAUCUAUGGCAAGGAAACAUAUGUGGGGUGAGGUGUAUGAGCCUCUGGUCGAUGAUCAAUGGCCACACAACCCCCAUUUUUGUCGAAAAUAGCCAUGAACGACCAUUUUCAAUAAUACCGAAGGCUAACACCUACGGAUUUUUGACCAAGAAAUGGUCUCCACCAGAAAUCCAAGAAUGUGAUCUAUGGCAAGGAAACAUAUGUGGGGUGAGGUGUAUGAGCCUCUGGUCGAUGAUCAAUGGCCACACAACCCCCAUUUUUGUCGAAAAUAGCCAUGAACGACCAUUUUCAAUAAUACGAAGGCUAACACCUACGGAUUUUUGACCAAGAAAUGGUCUCCACCAGAAAUCCAAGAAUGUGAUCUAUGGCAAGGAAACAUAUGUGGGGUGAGGUGUAUGAGCCUCUGGUCGAUGAUCAAUGGCCACACAACCCCCAUUUUGUCGAAAAUAGCCAUGAAUGACCAUUUUCAAUAAUACCGAAGGCUAACACGUACGAUUUUUGACCAAGAAAUGGUCUCCACCAGAAAUCCAAGAAUGUGAUCUAUGGCAAGGAAACAUAUGUGGGGUGAGGUGUAUGAGCCUCUGGUCGAUGAUCAAUGGCCACACAACCCCCAUUUUUGUCGAAAAUAGCCAUGAACGACCAUUUUCAAUAAUACGAAGGCUAACACCUACGGAUUUUUGACCAAGAAAUGGUCUCCACCAGAAAUCCAAGAAUGUGAUCUAUGGCAAGGAAACAUAUGUGGGGUGAGGUGUAUGAGCCUCUGGUCGAUGAUCAAUGGCCACACAACCCCCAUUUUUGUCGAAAAUAGCCAUGAACGACCAUUUUCAAUAAUACGAAGGCUAACACCUACGGAUUUUUGACCAAGAAAUGGUCUCCACCAGAAAUCCAAGAAUGUGAUCUAUGGCAAGGAAACAUAUGUGGGGUGAGGUGUAUGAGCCUCUGGUCGAUGAUCAAUGGCCACACAACCCCCAUUUUUGUCGAAAAUAGCCAUGAACGACCAUUUUCAAUAAUACGAAGGCUAACACCUACGGAUUUUUGACCAAGAAAUGGUCUCCACCAGAAAUCCAAGAAUGUGAUCUAUGGCAAGGAAACAUAUGUGGGGUGAGGUGUAUGAGCCUCUGGUCGAUGAUCAAUGGCCACACAACCCCCAUUUUUGUCGAAAAUAGCCAUGAACGACCAUUUUCAAUAAUACCGAAGGCUAACACUACGGAUUUUUGACCAAGAAAUGGUCUCCACCAGAAAUCCAAGAAUGUGAUCUAUGGCAAGGAAACAUAUGUGGGGUGAGGUGUAUGAGCCUCUGGUCGAUGAUCAAUGGCCACACAACCCCAUUUUUGUCGAAAAUAGCCAUGAACGACCAUUUUCAAUAAUACGAAGGCUAACACCUACGGAUUUUUGACCAAGAAAUGGUCUCCACCAGAAAUCCAAGAAUGUGAUCUAUGGCAAGGAAACAUAUGUGGGGUGAGGUGUAUGAGCCUCUGGUCGAUGAUCAAUGGCCACACAACCCCCAUUUUUGUCGAAAAUAGCCAUGAACGACCAUUUUCAAUAAUACCGAAGGCUAACACCUACGGAUUUUUGACCAAGAAAUGGUCUCCACCAGAAAUCCAAGAAUGUGAUCUAUGGCAAGGAAACAUAUGUGGGGUGAGGUGUAUGAGCCUCUGGUCGAUGAUCAAUGGCCACACAACCCCCAUUUUUGUCGAAAAUAGCCAUGAACGACCAUUUUCAAUAAUACGAAGGCUAACACCUACGGAUUUUUGACCAAGAAAUGGUCUCCACCAGAAAUCCAAGAAUGUGAUCUAUGGCAAGGAAACAUAUGUGGGGUGAGGUGUAUGAGCCUCUGGUCGAUGAUCAAUGGCCACACAACCCCCAUUUUUGUCGAAAAUAGCCAUGAACGACCAUUUUCAAUAAUACCGAAGGCUAACACCUACGGAUUUUUGACCAAGAAAUGGUCUCCACCAGAAAUCCAAGAAUGUGAUCUAUGGCAAGGAAACAUAUGUGGGGUGAGGUGUAUGAGCCUCUGGUCGAUGAUCAAUGGCCACACAACCCCCAUUUUUGUCGAAAAUAGCCAUGAACGACCAUUUUCAAUAAUACGAAGGCUAACACCUACGGAUUUUUGACCAAGAAAUGGUCUCCACCAGAAAUCCAAGAAUGUGAUCUAUGGCAAGGAAACAUAUGUGGGGUGAGGUGUAUGAGCCUCUGGUCGAUGAUCAAUGGCCACACAACCCCAUUUUUGUCGAAAAUAGCCAUGAACGACCAUUUUCAAUAAUACGAAGGCUAACACCUACGGAUUUUUGACCAAGAAAUGGUCUCCACCAGAAAUCCAAGAAUGUGAUCUAUGGCAAGGAAACAUAUGUGGGGUGAGGUGUAUGAGCCUCUGGUCGAUGAUCAAUGGCCACACAACCCCCAUUUUUGUCGAAAAUAGCCAUGAACGACCAUUUUCAAUAAUACCGAAGGCUAACACUACGGAUUUUUGACCAAGAAAUGGUCUCCACCAGAAAUCCAAGAAUGUGAUCUAUGGCAAGGAAACAUAUGUGGGGUGAGGUGUAUGAGCCUCUGGUCGAUGAUCAAUGGCCACACAACCCCCAUUUUUGUCGAAAAUAGCCAUGAACGACCAUUUUCAAUAAUACGAAGGCUAACACCUACGGAUUUUUGACCAAGAAAUGGUCUCCACCAGAAAUCCAAGAAUGUGAUCUAUGGCAAGGAAACAUAUGUGGGGUGAGGUGUAUGAGCCUCUGGUCGAUGAUCAAUGGCCACACAACCCCCAUUUUUGUCGAAAAUAGCCAUGAACGACCAUUUUCAAUAAUACCGAAGGCUAACACCUACGGAUUUUUGACCAAGAAAUGGUCUCCACCAGAAAUCCAAGAAUGUGAUCUAUGGCAAGGAAACAUAUGUGGGGUGAGGUGUAUGAGCCUCUGGUCGAUGAUCAAUGGCCACACAACCCCCAUUUUUGUCGAAAAUAGCCAUGAACGACCAUUUUCAAUAAUACGAAGGCUAACACCUACGGAUUUUUGACCAAGAAAUGGUCUCCACCAGAAAUCCAAGAAUGUGAUCUAUGGCAAGGAAACAUAUGUGGGGUGAGGUGUAUGAGCCUCUGGUCGAUGAUCAAUGGCCACACAACCCCCAUUUUUGUCGAAAAUAGCCAUGAACGACCAUUUUCAAUAAUACGAAGGCUAACACUACGGAUUUUUGACCAAGAAAUGGUCUCCACCAGAAAUCCAAGAAUGUGAUCUAUGGCAAGGAAACAUAUGUGGGGUGAGGUGUAUGAGCCUCUGGUCGAUGAUCAAUGGCCACACAACCCCCAUUUUUGUCGAAAAUAGCCAUGAACGACCAUUUUCAAUAAUACCGAAGGCUAACACCUACGGAUUUUUGACCAAGAAAUGGUCUCCACCAGAAAUCCAAGAAUGUGAUCUAUGGCAAGGAAACAUAUGUGGGGUGAGGUGUAUGAGCCUCUGGUCGAUGAUCAAUGGCCACACAACCCCCAUUUUUGUCGAAAAUAGCCAUGAACGACCAUUUUCAAUAAUACGAAGGCUAACACCUACGGAUUUUUGACCAAGAAAUGGUCUCCACCAGAAAUCCAAGAAUGUGAUCUAUGGCAAGGAAACAUAUGUGGGGUGAGGUGUAUGAGCCUCUGGUCGAUGAUCAAUGGCCACACAACCCCCAUUUUUGUCGAAAAUAGCCAUGAACGACCAUUUUCAAUAAUACCGAAGGCUAACACCUACGGAUUUUUGACCAAGAAAUGGUCUCCACCAGAAAUCCAAGAAUGUGAUCUAUGGCAAGGAAACAUAUGUGGGGUGAGGUGUAUGAGCCUCUGGUCGAUGAUCAAUGGCCACACAACCCCCAUUUUUGUCGAAAAUAGCCAUGAACGACCAUUUUCAAUAAUAUCGAAGGCUAACACCUACGGAUUUUUGACCAAGAAAUGGUCUCCACCAGAAAUCCAAGAAUGUGAUCUAUGGCAAGGAAACAUAUGUGGGGUGAGGUGUAUGAGCCUCUGGUCGAUGAUCAAUGGCCACACAACCCCCAUUUUGCCGAAAAUAGCCAUGAAUGACCAUUUUCAAUAAUACCGAAGGCUAACACCUACGAAUUUUUGACCAAGAAAUGGUCUCCACCAGAAAUCCAAGAAUGUGAUCUAUGGCAAGGAAACAUAUGUGGGGUGAGGUGUAUGAGCCUCUGGUCGAUGAUCAAUGGCCACACAACCCCCAUUUUUGUCGAAAAUAGCCAUGAACGACCAUUUUCAAUAAUACCGAAGGCUAACACCUACGGAUUUUUGACCAAGAAAUGGUCUCCACCAGAAAUCCAAGAAUGUGAUCUAUGGCAAGGAAACAUAUGUGGGGUGAGGUGUAUGAGCCUCUGGUCGAUGAUCAAUGGCCACACAACCCCAUUUUUGUCGAAAAUAGCCAUGAACGACCAUUUUCAAUAAUACGAAGGCUAACACCUACGGAUUUUUGACCAAGAAAUGGUCUCCACCAGAAAUCCAAGAAUGUGAUCUAUGGCAAGGAAACAUAUGUGGGGUGAGGUGUAUGAGCCUCUGGUCGAUGAUCAAUGGCCACACAACCCCCAUUUUUGUCGAAAAUAGCCAUGAACGACCAUUUUCAAUAAUACCGAAGGCUAACACCUACGGAUUUUUGACCAAGAAAUGGUCUCCACCAGAAAUCCAAGAAUGUGAUCUAUGGCAAGGAAACAUAUGUGGGGUGAGGUGUAUGAGCCUCUGGUCGAUGAUCAAUGGCCACACAACCCCAUUUUUGCGAAAAUAGCCAUGAAUGACCAUUUUCAAUAAUACCGAAGGCUAACACUACGGAUUUUUACCAAGAAAUGGUCUCCACCAGAAAUCCAAGAAUGUGAUCUAUGGCAAGGAAACAUAUGUGGGGUGAGGUGUAUGAGCCUCUGGUCGAUGAUCAAUGGCCACACAACCCCCAUUUUUGAAAUAGCCUGAAAAUAGCCAUGACGACCAUUUUCAAUAAUACGAAGGCUAACACCUACGGAUUUUUGACCAAGAAAUGGUCUCCACCAGAAAUCCAAGAAUGUGAUCUAUGGCAAGGAAACAUAUGUGGGGUGAGGUGUAUGAGCCUCUGGUCGAUGAUCAAUGGCCACACAACCCCCAUUUUUGUCGAAAAUAGCCAUGAACGACCAUUUUCAAUAAUACGAAGGCUAACACCUACGGAUUUUGACCAAGAAAUGGUCUCCACCAGAAAUCCAAGAAUGUGAUCUAUGGCAAGGAAACAUAUGUGGGGUGAGGUGUAUGAGCCUCUGGUCGAUGAUCAAUGGCCACACAACCCCCAUUUUUGUCGAAAAUAGCCAUGAACGACCAUUUUCAAUAAUACGAAGGCUAACACCUACGGAUUUUUGACCAAGAAAUGGUCUCCACCAGAAAUCCAAGAAUGUGAUCUAUGGCAAGGAAACAUAUGUGGGGUGAGGUGUAUGAGCCUCUGGUCGAUGAUCAAUGGCCACACAACCCCCAUUUUGUCGAAAAUAGCCAUGAACGACCAUUUUCAAUAAUACCGAAGGCUAACACCUACGGAUUUUUGACCAAGAAAUGGUCUCCACCAGAAAUCCAAGAAUGUGAUCUAUGGCAAGGAAACAUAUGUGGGGUGAGGUGUAUGAGCCUCUGGUCGAUGAUCAAUGGCCACACAACCCCCAUUUUUGUCGAAAAUAGCCAUGAACGACCAUUUUCAAUAAUACGAAGGCUAACACCUACGGAUUUUUGACCAAGAAAUGGUCUCCACCAGAAAUCCAAGAAUGUGAUCUAUGGCAAGGAAACAUAUGUGGGGUGAGGUGUAUGAGCCUCUGGUCGAUGAUCAAUGGCCACACAACCCCCAUUUUUGUCGAAAAUAGCCAUGAACGACCAUUUUCAAUAAUACCGAAGGCUAACACCUACGGAUUUUUGACCAAGAAAUGGUCUCCACCAGAAAUCCAAGAAUGUGAUCUAUGGCAAGGAAACAUAUGUGGGGUGAGGUGUAUGAGCCUCUGGUCGAUGAUCAAUGGCCACACAACCCCCAUUUUUGUCGAAAAUAGCCAUGAACGACCAUUUUCAAUAAUACGAAGGCUAACACCUACGGAUUUUUGACCAAGAAAUGGUCUCCACCAGAAAUCCAAGAAUGUGAUCUAUGGCAAGGAAACAUAUGUGGGGUGAGGUGUAUGAGCCUCUGGUCGAUGAUCAAUGGCCACACAACCCCCAUUUUUGUCGAAAAUAGCCAUGAACGACCAUUUUCAAUAAUACGAAGGCUAACACCUACGGAUUUUUGACCAAGAAAUGGUCUCCACCAGAAAUCCAAGAAUGUGAUCUAUGGCAAGGAAACAUAUGUGGGGUGAGGUGUAUGAGCCUCUGGUCGAUGAUCAAUGGCCACACAACCCCCAUUUUUGUCGAAAAUAGCCAUGAACGACCAUUUUCAAUAAUACGAAGGCUAACACCUACGGAUUUUUGACCAAGAAAUGGUCUCCACCAGAAAUCCAAGAAUGUGAUCUAUGGCAAGGAAACAUAUGUGGGGUGAGGUGUAUGAGCCUCUGGUCGAUGAUCAAUGGCCACACAACCCCCAUUUUUGUCGAAAAUAGCCAUGAAUGACCAUUUUCAAUAAUACGAAGGCUAACACCUACGGAUUUUUGACCAAGAAAUGGUCUCCACCAGAAAUCCAAGAAUGUGAUCUAUGGCAAGGAAACAUAUGUGGGGUGAGGUGUAUGAGCCUCUGGUCGAUGAUCAAUGGCCACACAACCCCCAUUUUGUCGAAAAUAGCCAUGAACGACCAUUUUCAAUAAUACCGAAGGCUAACACUACGGAUUUUUAACCAAGAAAUGGUCUCCACCAGAAAUCCAAGAAUGUGAUCUAUGGCAAGGAAACAUAUGUGGGGUGAGGUGUAUGAGCCUCUGGUCGAUGAUCAAUGGCCACACAACCCCCAUUUUUGUCGAAAAUAGCCAUGAACGACCAUUUUCAAUAAUACGAAGGCUAACACCUACGGAUUUUUGACCAAGAAAUGGUCUCCACCAGAAAUCCAAGAAUGUGAUCUAUGGCAAGGAAACAUAUGUGGGGUGAGGUGUAUGAGCCUCUGGUCGAUGAUCAAUGGCCACACAACCCCCAUUUUUGUCGAAAAUAGCCAUGAACGACCAUUUUCAAUAAUACCGAAGGCUAACACCUACGGAUUUUUGACCAAGAAAUGGUCUCCACCAGAAAUCCAAGAAUGUGAUCUAUGGCAAGGAAACAUAUGUGGGGUGAGGUGUAUGAGCCUCUGGUCGAUGAUCAAUGGCCACACAACCCCAUUUUUGUCGAAAAUAGCCAUGAACGACCAUUUUCAAUAAUACCGAAGGCUAACACCUACGGAUUUUUGACCAAGAAAUGGUCUCCACCAGAAAUCCAAGAAUGUGAUCUAUGGCAAGGAAACAUAUGUGGGGUGAGGUGUAUGAGCCUCUGGUCGAUGAUCAAUGGCCACACAACCCCCAUUUUUGUCGAAAAUAGCCAUGAAUGACCAUUUUCAAUAAUACGAAGGCUAACACCUACGGAUUUUUGACCAAGAAAUGGUCUCCACCAGAAAUCCAAGAAUGUGAUCUAUGGCAAGGAAACAUAUGUGGGGUGAGGUGUAUGAGCCUCUGGUCGAUGAUCAAUGGCCACACAACCCCCAUUUUUGUCGAAAAUAGCCAUGAACGACCAUUUUCAAUAAUACCGAAGGCUAACACCUACGGAUUUUUGACCAAGAAAUGGUCUCCACCAGAAAUCCAAGAAUGUGAUCUAUGGCAAGGAAACAUAUGUGGGGUGAGGUGUAUGAGCCUCUGGUCGAUGAUCAAUGGCCACACAACCCCCAUUUUUGUCGAAAAUAGCCAUGAACGACCAUUUUCAAUAAUACGAAGGCUAACACCUACGGAUUUUUGACCAAGAAAUGGUCUCCACCAGAAAUCCAAGAAUGUGAUCUAUGGCAAGGAAACAUAUGUGGGGUGAGGUGUAUGAGCCUCUGGUCGAUGAUCAAUGGCCACACAACCCCCAUUUUUGUCGAAAAUAGCCAUGAACGACCAUUUUCAAUAAUACGAAGGCUAACACCUACGGAUUUUUGACCAAGAAAUGGUCUCCACCAGAAAUCCAAGAAUGUGAUCUAUGGCAAGGAAACAUAUGUGGGGUGAGGUGUAUGAGCCUCUGGUCGAUGAUCAAUGGCCACACAACCCCCAUUUUUGUCGAAAAUAGCCAUGAAGACCAUUUUCAAUAAUACCGAAGGCUAACACCUACGGAUUUUUGACCAAGAAAUGGUCUCCACCAGAAAUCCAAGAAUGUGAUCUAUGGCAAGGAAACAUAUGUGGGGUGAGGUGUAUGAGCCUCUGGUCGAUGAUCAAUGGCCACACAACCCCCAUUUUGUCGAAAAUAGCCAUGAACGACCAUUUUCAAUAAUACGAAGGCUAACACCUACGGAUUUUUGACCAAGAAAUGGUCUCCACCAGAAAUCCAAGAAUGUGAUCUAUGGCAAGGAAACAUAUGUGGGGUGAGGUGUAUGAGCCUCUGGUCGAUGAUCAAUGGCCACACAACCCCCAUUUUUGUCGAAAAUAGCCAUGAACGACCAUUUUCAAUAAUACGAAGGCUAACACCUACGGAUUUUUGACCAAGAAAUGGUCUCCACCAGAAAUCCAAGAAUGUGAUCUAUGGCAAGGAAACAUAUGUGGGGUGAGGUGUAUGAGCCUCUGGUCGAUGAUCAAUGGCCACACAACCCCCAUUUUUGUCGAAAAUAGCCAUGAAUGACCAUUUUCAAUAAUACCGAAGGCUAACACCUACGGAUUUUUGACCAAGAAAUGGUCUCCACCAGAAAUCCAAGAAUGUGAUCUAUGGCAAGGAAACAUAUGUGGGGUGAGGUGUAUGAGCCUCUGGUCGAUGAUCAAUGGCCACACAACCCCCAUUUUUGUCGAAAAUAGCCAUGAAUGACCAUUUUCAAUAAUACCGAAGGCUAACACUACGGAUUUUUGACCAAGAAAUGGUCUCCACCAGAAAUCCAAGAAUGUGAUCUAUGGCAAGGAAACAUAUGUGGGGUGAGGUGUAUGAGCCUCUGGUCGAUGAUCAAUGGCCACACAACCCCCAUUUUUGUCGAAAAUAGCCAUGAACGACCAUUUUCAAUAAUACGAAGGCUAACACCUACGGAUUUUUGACCAAGAAAUGGUCUCCACCAGAAAUCCAAGAAUGUGAUCUAUGGCAAGGAAACAUAUGUGGGGUGAGGUGUAUGAGCCUCUGGUCGAUGAUCAAUGGCCACACAACCCCCAUUUUUGUCGAAAAUAGCCAUGAACGACCAUUUUCAAUAAUACGAAGGCUAACACCUACGGAUUUUUGACCAAGAAAUGGUCUCCACCAGAAAUCCAAGAAUGUGAUCUAUGGCAAGGAAACAUAUGUGGGGUGAGGUGUAUGAGCCUCUGGUCGAUGAUCAAUGGCCACACAACCCCCAUUUUUGUCGAAAAUAGCCAUGAAUGACCAUUUUCAAUAAUACGAAGGCUAACACCUACGGAUUUUUGACCAAGAAAUGGUCUCCACCAGAAAUCCAAGAAUGUGAUCUAUGGCAAGGAAACAUAUGUGGGGUGAGGUGUAUGAGCCUCUGGUCGAUGAUCAAUGGCCACACAACCCCCAUUUUGUCGAAAAUAGCCAUGAAUGACCAUUUUCAAUAAUACGAAGGCUAACACCUACGGAUUUUUGACCAAGAAAUGGUCUCCACCAGAAAUCCAAGAAUGUGAUCUAUGGCAAGGAAACAUAUGUGGGGUGAGGUGUAUGAGCCUCUGGUCGAUGAUCAAUGGCCACACAACCCCCAUUUUUGUCGAAAAUAGCCAUGAACGACCAUUUUCAAUAAUACGAAGGCUAACACCUACGGAUUUUUGACCAAGAAAUGGUCUCCACCAGAAAUCCAAGAAUGUGAUCUAUGGCAAGGAAACAUAUGUGGGGUGAGGUGUAUGAGCCUCUGGUCGAUGAUCAAUGGCCACACAACCCCAUUUUUGUCGAAAAUAGCCAUGAACGACCAUUUUCAAUAAUACGAAGGCUAACACCUACGGAUUUUUGACCAAGAAAUGGUCUCCACCAGAAAUCCAAGAAUGUGAUCUAUGGCAAGGAAACAUAUGUGGGGUGAGGUGUAUGAGCCUCUGGUCGAUGAUCAAUGGCCACACAACCCCCAUUUUGUCGAAAAUAGCCAUGAAUGACCAUUUUCAAUAAUACCGAAGGCUAACACCUACGGAUUUUUGACCAAGAAAUGGUCUCCACCAGAAAUCCAAGAAUGUGAUCUAUGGCAAGGAAACAUAUGUGGGGUGAGGUGUAUGAGCCUCUGGUCGAUGAUCAAUGGCCACACAACCCCAUUUUGUCGAAAAUAGCCAUGAACGACCAUUUUCAAUAAUACGAAGGCUAACACUACGAUUUUUGACCAAGAAAUGGUCUCCACCAGAAAUCCAAGAAUGUGAUCUAUGGCAAGGAAACAUAUGUGGGGUGAGGUGUAUGAGCCUCUGGUCGAUGAUCAAUGGCCACACAACCCCAUUUUUGUCGAAAAUAGCCAUGAACGACCAUUUUCAAUAAUACGAAGGCUAACACCUACGGAUUUUUGACCAAGAAAUGGUCUCCACCAGAAAUCCAAGAAUGUGAUCUAUGGCAAGGAAACAUAUGUGGGGUGAGGUGUAUGAGCCUCUGGUCGAUGAUCAAUGGCCACACAACCCCCAUUUUUGUCGAAAAUAGCCAUGAACGACCAUUUUCAAUAAUACGAAGGCUAACACCUACGGAUUUUUGACCAAGAAAUGGUCUCCACCAGAAAUCCAAGAAUGUGAUCUAUGGCAAGGAAACAUAUGUGGGGUGAGGUGUAUGAGCCUCUGGUCGAUGAUCAAUGGCCACACAACCCCAUUUUUGUCGAAAAUAGCCAUGAACGACCAUUUUCAAUAAUACGAAGGCUAACACUACGGAUUUUUAACCAAGAAAUGGUCUCCACCAGAAAUCCAAGAAUGUGAUCUAUGGCAAGGAAACAUAUGUGGGGUGAGGUGUAUGAGCCUCUGGUCGAUGAUCAAUGGCCACACAACCCCCAUUUUUGUCGAAAAUAGCCAUGAACGACCAUUUUCAAUAAUACGAAGGCUAACACCUACGGAUUUUUGACCAAGAAAUGGUCUCCACCAGAAAUCCAAGAAUGUGAUCUAUGGCAAGGAAACAUAUGUGGGGUGAGGUGUAUGAGCCUCUGGUCGAUGAUCAAUGGCCACACAACCCCCAUUUUUGUCGAAAAUAGCCAUGAACGACCAUUUUCAAUAAUACCGAAGGCUAACACCUACGGAUUUUUGACCAAGAAAUGGUCUCCACCAGAAAUCCAAGAAUGUGAUCUAUGGCAAGGAAACAUAUGUGGGGUGAGGUGUAUGAGCCUCUGGUCGAUGAUCAAUGGCCACACAACCCCCAUUUUUGUCGAAAAUAGCCAUGAACGACCAUUUUCAAUAAUACGAAGGCUAACACCUACGGAUUUUUGACCAAGAAAUGGUCUCCACCAGAAAUCCAAGAAUGUGAUCUAUGGCAAGGAAACAUAUGUGGGGUGAGGUGUAUGAGCCUCUGGUCGAUGAUCAAUGGCCACACAACCCCCAUUUUGCCGAAAAUAGCCAUGAAGACCAUUUUCAAUAAUACGAAGGCUAACACUACGGAUUUUUGACCAAGAAAUGGUCUCCACCAGAAAUCCAAGAAUGUGAUCUAUGGCAAGGAAACAUAUGUGGGGUGAGGUGUAUGAGCCUCUGGUCGAUGAUCAAUGGCCACACAACCCCCAUUUUUGUCGAAAAUAGCCAUGAACGACCAUUUUCAAUAAUACGAAGGCUAACACCUACGGAUUUUUGACCAAGAAAUGGUCUCCACCAGAAAUCCAAGAAUGUGAUCUAUGGCAAGGAAACAUAUGUGGGGUGAGGUGUAUGAGCCUCUGGUCGAUGAUCAAUGGCCACACAACCCCCAUUUUUGUCGAAAAUAGCCAUGAACGACCAUUUUCAAUAAUACGAAGGCUAACACCUACGGAUUUUUGACCAAGAAAUGGUCUCCACCAGAAAUCCAAGAAUGUGAUCUAUGGCAAGGAAACAUAUGUGGGGUGAGGUGUAUGAGCCUCUGGUCGAUGAUCAAUGGCCACACAACCCCAUUUUUGUCGAAAAUAGCCAUGAACGACCAUUUUCAAUAAUACGAAGGCUAACACCUACGGAUUUUUGACCAAGAAAUGGUCUCCACCAGAAAUCCAAGAAUGUGAUCUAUGGCAAGGAAACAUAUGUGGGGUGAGGUGUAUGAGCCUCUGGUCGAUGAUCAAUGGCCACACAACCCCAUUUUGUCGAAAAUAGCCAUGAAGACCAUUUUCAAUAAUACGAAGGCUAACACCUACGGAUUUUUGACCAAGAAAUGGUCUCCACCAGAAAUCCAAGAAUGUGAUCUAUGGCAAGGAAACAUAUGUGGGGUGAGGUGUAUGAGCCUCUGGUCGAUGAUCAAUGGCCACACAACCCCCAUUUUUGUCGAAAAUAGCCAUGAAUGACCAUUUUCAAUAAUACGAAGGCUAACACCUACGGAUUUUUGACCAAGAAAUGGUCUCCACCAGAAAUCCAAGAAUGUGAUCUAUGGCAAGGAAACAUAUGUGGGGUGAGGUGUAUGAGCCUCUGGUCGAUGAUCAAUGGCCACACAACCCCAUUUUUGUCGAAAAUAGCCAUGAACGACCAUUUUCAAUAAUACCGAAGGCUAACACCUACGGAUUUUUGACCAAGAAAUGGUCUCCACCAGAAAUCCAAGAAUGUGAUCUAUGGCAAGGAAACAUAUGUGGGGUGAGGUGUAUGAGCCUCUGGUCGAUGAUCAAUGGCCACACAACCCCCAUUUUUGUCGAAAAUAGCCAUGAACGACCAUUUUCAAUAAUACGAAGGCUAACACCUACGGAUUUUUGACCAAGAAAUGGUCUCCACCAGAAAUCCAAGAAUGUGAUCUAUGGCAAGGAAACAUAUGUGGGGUGAGGUGUAUGAGCCUCUGGUCGAUGAUCAAUGGCCACACAACCCCAUUUUGUCGAAAAUAGCCAUGAACGACCAUUUUCAAUAAUACGAAGGCUAACACCUACGGAUUUUUGACCAAGAAAUGGUCUCCACCAGAAAUCCAAGAAUGUGAUCUAUGGCAAGGAAACAUAUGUGGGGUGAGGUGUAUGAGCCUCUGGUCGAUGAUCAAUGGCCACACAACCCCCAUUUUUGUCGAAAAUAGCCAUGAAGACCAUUUUCAAUAAUACGAAGGCUAACACCUACGGAUUUUUGACCAAGAAAUGGUCUCCACCAGAAAUCCAAGAAUGUGAUCUAUGGCAAGGAAACAUAUGUGGGGUGAGGUGUAUGAGCCUCUGGUCGAUGAUCAAUGGCCACACAACCCCAUUUUUGUCGAAAAUAGCCAUGAACGACCAUUUUCAAUAAUACGAAGGCUAACACCUACGGAUUUUUGACCAAGAAAUGGUCUCCACCAGAAAUCCAAGAAUGUGAUCUAUGGCAAGGAAACAUAUGUGGGGUGAGGUGUAUGAGCCUCUGGUCGAUGAUCAAUGGCCACACAACCCCAUUUUUGUCGAAAAUAGCCAUGAACGACCAUUUUCAAUAAUACGAAGGCUAACACCUACGGAUUUUUGACCAAGAAAUGGUCUCCACCAGAAAUCCAAGAAUGUGAUCUAUGGCAAGGAAACAUAUGUGGGGUGAGGUGUAUGAGCCUCUGGUCGAUGAUCAAUGGCCACACAACCCCAUUUUUGUCGAAAAUAGCCAUGAAUGACCAUUUUCAAUAAUACGAAGGCUAACACUACGGAUUUUUGACCAAGAAAUGGUCUCCACCAGAAAUCCAAGAAUGUGAUCUAUGGCAAGGAAACAUAUGUGGGGUGAGGUGUAUGAGCCUCUGGUCGAUGAUCAAUGGCCACACAACCCCAUUUUUGUCGAAAAUAGCCAUGAAGACCAUUUUCAAUAAUACGAAGGCUAACACUACGGAUUUUGACCAAGAAAUGGUCUCCACCAGAAAUCCAAGAAUGUGAUCUAUGGCAAGGAAACAUAUGUGGGGUGAGGUGUAUGAGCUCUGGUCGAUGAUCAAUGGCCACACAACCCCAUUUUUGUCGAAAAUAGCCAUGAACGACCAUUUUCAAUAAUACGAAGGCUAACACCUACGGAUUUUUGACCAAGAAAUGGUCUCCACCAGAAAUCCAAGAAUGUGAUCUAUGGCAAGGAAACAUAUGUGGGUGAGGUGUAUGAGCCUCUGGUCGAUGAUCAAUGGCCACACAACCCCAUUUUGUCGAAAAUAGCCAUGAAGACCAUUUUCAAUAAUACGAAGGCUAACACUACGGAUUUUUGACCAAGAAAUGGUCUCCACCAGAAAUCCAAGAAUGUGAUCUAUGGCAAGGAAACAUAUGUGGGGUGAGGUGUAUGAGCCUCUGGUCGAUGAUCAAUGGCCACACAACCCCCAUUUUGCGAAAAUAGCCAUGAAGACCAUUUUCAAUAAUACGAAGGCUAACACUACGAUUUUUGACCAAGAAAUGGUCUCCACCAGAAAUCCAAGAAUGUGAUCUAUGGCAAGGAAACAUAUGUGGGGUGAGGUGUAUGAGCCUCUGGUCGAUGAUCAAUGGCCACACAACCCCAUUUUGUCGAAAAUAGCCAUGAAGACCAUUUUCAAUAAUACGAAGGCUAACAUCGCUACGGAUUUUAUGACCAAGAAAUGGUGUCCAUUGAUCAUCGACCAGAGCUCAUACACCUCACCCACAUAUGUUUCCUUGCAUAGAUCACAUUCUUGGAUUUCUGGUGGAGACCAUUUCUUGGUCAAAAUCGUAGUGUUAGCCUUCGUAUUAUUGAAAAUGGUCUUCAUGGCUAUUUUCGACAAAAAUGGGGUUGUGUGGCCAUUGAUCAUCGACCAGAGGCUCAUACACCUCACCCCACAUAUGUUUCCUUGCCAUAGAUCACAUUCUUGGAUUUCUGGUGGAGACCAUUUCUUGGUCAAAAAUCCGUAGGUGUUAGCCUUCGUAUUAUUGAAAAUGGUCAUUCAUGGCUAUUUUCGACAAAAAUGGGGGUUGUGUGGCCAUUGAUCAUCGACCAGAGGCUCAUACACCUCACCCCACAUAUGUUUCCUUGCCAUAGAUCACAUUCUUGGAUUUCUGGUGGAGACCAUUUCUUGGUAAAAAUCGUAGUGUUAGCCUUCGUAUUAUUGAAAAUGGUCUUCAUGGCUAUUUUCGACAAAAUGGGGUUGUGUGGCCAUUGAUCAUCGACAGAGCUCAUAACUCACCCACAUAUGUUUCUUGCAUAGAUCACAUUCUUGAUUUUGGUGGACCAUUUCUUGUAAAAUCGUAGUGUUAGCCUUGUAUUAUUGAAAUGGUCUUCAUGGCUAUUUUCGACAAAAUGGGGUUGUGUGGCCAUUGAUCAUCGACCAGAGCUCAUACACCUCACCCCACAUAUGUUUCCUUGCCAUAGAUCACAUUCUUGGAUUUCUGGUGGAGACCAUUUCUUGGUCAAAAAUCCGUAGGUGUUAGCCUUCGUAUUAUUGAAAAUGGUCGUUCAUGGCUAUUUUCGACAAAAAUGGGGGUUGUGUGGCCAUUGAUCAUCGACCAGAGGCUCAUACACCUCACCCCACAUAUGUUUCCUUGCCAUAGAUCACAUUCUUGGAUUUCUGGUGGAGACCAUUUCUUGGUCAAAAAUCCGUAGUGUUAGCCUUCGUAUUAUUGAAAAUGGUCUUCAUGGCUAUUUUCGACAAAAUGGGGGUUGUGUGGCCAUUGAUCAUCGACCAGAGGCUCAUACACCUCACCCCACAUAUGUUUCCUUGCCAUAGAUCACAUUCUUGGAUUUCUGGUGGAGACCAUUUCUUGGUCAAAAAUCCGUAGUGUUAGCCUUCGUAUUAUUGAAAAUGGUCGUUCAUGGCUAUUUUCGACAAAAUGGGGGUUGUGUGGCCAUUGAUCAUCGACCAGAGGCUCAUACACCUCACCCCACAUAUGUUUCCUUGCCAUAGAUCACAUUCUUGGAUUUCUGGUGGAGACCAUUUCUUGGUCAAAAUCCGUAGGUGUUAGCCUUCGUAUUAUUGAAAAUGGUCGUUCAUGGCUAUUUUCGCAAAAUGGGGUUGUGUGGCCAUUGAUCAUCGACCAGAGCUCAUACACCUCACCCCACAUAUGUUUCCUUGCCAUAGAUCACAUUCUUGGAUUUCUGGUGGAGACCAUUUCUUGGUCAAAAUCCGUAGUGUUAGCCUUCGUAUUAUUGAAAUGGUCUUCAUGGCUAUUUUCGCAAAAUGGGGGUUGUGUGGCCAUUGAUCAUCGACCAGAGCUCAUACACCUCACCCCACAUAUGUUUCCUUGCCAUAGAUCACAUUCUUGGAUUUCUGGUGGAGACCAUUUCUUGGUCAAAAAUCCGUAGGUGUUAGCCUUCGUAUUAUUGAAAAUGGUCGUUCAUGGCUAUUUUCGACAAAAAUGGGGGUUGUGUGGCCAUUGAUCAUCGACCAGAGGCUCAUACACCUCACCCCACAUAUGUUUCCUUGCCAUAGAUCACAUUCUUGGAUUUCUGGUGGAGACCAUUUCUUGGUCAAAAAUCCGUAGGUGUUAGCCUUCGUAUUAUUGAAAAUGGUCGUUCAUGGCUAUUUUCGACAAAAAUGGGGUUGUGUGGCCAUUGAUCAUCGACCAGAGGCUCAUACACCUCACCCCACAUAUGUUUCCUUGCCAUAGAUCACAUUCUUGGAUUUCUGGUGGAGACCAUUUCUUGGUCAAAAAUCCGUAGGUGUUAGCCUUCGGUAUUAUUGAAAAUGGUCUUCAUGGCUAUUUUCGCAAAAUGGGGGUUGUGUGGCCAUUGAUCAUCGACCAGAGGCUCAUACACCUCACCCCACAUAUGUUUCCUUGCCAUAGAUCACAUUCUUGGAUUUCUGGUGGAGACCAUUUCUUGGUCAAAAAUCCGUAGUGUUAGCCUUCGUAUUAUUGAAAAUGGUCUUCAUGGCUAUUUUCGACAAAAAUGGGGGUUGUGUGGCCAUUGAUCAUCGACCAGAGGCUCAUACACCUCACCCCACAUAUGUUUCCUUGCCAUAGAUCACAUUCUUGGAUUUCUGGUGGAGACCAUUUCUUGGUCAAAAAUCCGUAGGUGUUAGCCUUCGUAUUAUUGAAAAUGGUCGUUCAUGGCUAUUUUCGACAAAAAUGGGGUUGUGUGGCCAUUGAUCAUCGACCAGAGGCUCAUACACCUCACCCCACAUAUGUUUCCUUGCCAUAGAUCACAUUCUUGGAUUUCUGGUGGAGACCAUUUCUUGGUCAAAAAUCCGUAGGUGUUAGCCUUCGUAUUAUUGAAAAUGGUCGUUCAUGGCUAUUUUCGACAAAAUGGGGGUUGUGUGGCCAUUGAUCAUCGACCAGAGGCUCAUACACCUCACCCCACAUAUGUUUCCUUGCCAUAGAUCACAUUCUUGGAUUUCUGGUGGAGACCAUUUCUUGGUCAAAAAUCCGUAGGUGUUAGCCUUCGUAUUAUUGAAAAUGGUCGUUCAUGGCUAUUUUCGACAAAAAUGGGGGUUGUGUGGCCAUUGAUCAUCGACCAGAGGCUCAUACACCUCACCCCACAUAUGUUUCCUUGCCAUAGAUCACAUUCUUGGAUUUCUGGUGGAGACCAUUUCUUGGUCAAAAAUCCGUAGGUGUUAGCCUUCGUAUUAUUGAAAAUGGUCGUUCAUGGCUAUUUUCGACAAAAAUGGGGGUUGUGUGGCCAUUGAUCAUCGACCAGAGGCUCAUACACCUCACCCCACAUAUGUUUCCUUGCCAUAGAUCACAUUCUUGGAUUUCUGGUGGAGACCAUUUCUUGGUCAAAAAUCCGUAGUGUUAGCCUUCGUAUUAUUGAAAAUGGUCUUCAUGGCUAUUUUCGACAAAAAUGGGGGUUGUGUGGCCAUUGAUCAUCGACCAGAGGCUCAUACACCUCACCCCACAUAUGUUUCCUUGCCAUAGAUCACAUUCUUGGAUUUCUGGUGGAGACCAUUUCUUGGUCAAAAAUCCGUAGGUGUUAGCCUUCGUAUUAUUGAAAAUGGUCGUUCAUGGCUAUUUUCGACAAAAAUGGGGGUUGUGUGGCCAUUGAUCAUCGACCAGAGGCUCAUACACCUCACCCCACAUAUGUUUCCUUGCCAUAGAUCACAUUCUUGGAUUUCUGGUGGAGACCAUUUCUUGGUCAAAAAUCCGUAGGUGUUAGCCUUCGUAUUAUUGAAAAUGGUCGUUCAUGGCUAUUUUCGACAAAAAUGGGGGUUGUGUGGCCAUUGAUCAUCGACCAGAGGCUCAUACACCUCACCCCACAUAUGUUUCCUUGCCAUAGAUCACAUUCUUGGAUUUCUGGUGGAGACCAUUUCUUGGUCAAAAAUCCGUAGGUGUUAGCCUUCGUAUUAUUGAAAAUGGUCGUUCAUGGCUAUUUUCGACAAAAAUGGGGGUUGUGUGGCCAUUGAUCAUCGACCAGAGGCUCAUACACCUCACCCCACAUAUGUUUCCUUGCCAUAGAUCACAUUCUUGGAUUUCUGGUGGAGACCAUUUCUUGGUCAAAAAUCCGUAGGUGUUAGCCUUCGGUAUUAUUGAAAAUGGUCUUCAUGGCUAUUUUCGACAAAAAUGGGGGUUGUGUGGCCAUUGAUCAUCGACCAGAGGCUCAUACACCUCACCCCACAUAUGUUUCCUUGCCAUAGAUCACAUUCUUGGAUUUCUGGUGGAGACCAUUUCUUGGUCAAAAAUCCGUAGGUGUUAGCCUUCGUAUUAUUGAAAAUGGUCGUUCAUGGCUAUUUUCGACAAAAAUGGGGGUUGUGUGGCCAUUGAUCAUCGACCAGAGGCUCAUACACCUCACCCCACAUAUGUUUCCUUGCCAUAGAUCACAUUCUUGGAUUUCUGGUGGAGACCAUUUCUUGGUCAAAAAUCCGUAGGUGUUAGCCUUCGUAUUAUUGAAAAUGGUCGUUCAUGGCUAUUUUCGACAAAAAUGGGGGUUGUGUGGCCAUUGAUCAUCGACCAGAGGCUCAUACACCUCACCCCACAUAUGUUUCCUUGCCAUAGAUCACAUUCUUGGAUUUCUGGUGGAGACCAUUUCUUGGUCAAAAAUCCGUAGGUGUUAGCCUUCGUAUUAUUGAAAAUGGUCGUUCAUGGCUAUUUUCGACAAAAAUGGGGUUGUGUGGCCAUUGAUCAUCGACCAGAGGCUCAUACACCUCACCCCACAUAUGUUUCCUUGCCAUAGAUCACAUUCUUGGAUUUCUGGUGGAGACCAUUUCUUGGUCAAAAAUCCGUAGGUGUUAGCCUUCGGUAUUAUUGAAAAUGGUCGUUCAUGGCUAUUUUCGACAAAAAUGGGGGUUGUGUGGCCAUUGAUCAUCGACCAGAGGCUCAUACACCUCACCCCACAUAUGUUUCCUUGCCAUAGAUCACAUUCUUGGAUUUCUGGUGGAGACCAUUUCUUGGUCAAAAAUCCGUAGGUGUUAGCCUUCGGUAUUAUUGAAAAUGGUCGUUCAUGGCUAUUUUCGACAAAAAUGGGGGUUGUGUGGCCAUUGAUCAUCGACCAGAGGCUCAUACACCUCACCCCACAUAUGUUUCCUUGCCAUAGAUCACAUUCUUGGAUUUCUGGUGGAGACCAUUUCUUGGUCAAAAAUCCGUAGUGUUAGCCUUCGUAUUAUUGAAAAUGGUCGUUCAUGGCUAUUUUCGACAAAAAUGGGGGUUGUGUGGCCAUUGAUCAUCGACCAGAGGCUCAUACACCUCACCCCACAUAUGUUUCCUUGCCAUAGAUCACAUUCUUGGAUUUCUGGUGGAGACCAUUUCUUGGUCAAAAAUCCGUAGGUGUUAGCCUUCGGUAUUAUUGAAAAUGGUCGUUCAUGGCUAUUUUCGACAAAAAUGGGGGUUGUGUGGCCAUUGAUCAUCGACCAGAGGCUCAUACACCUCACCCCACAUAUGUUUCCUUGCCAUAGAUCACAUUCUUGGAUUUCUGGUGGAGACCAUUUCUUGGUCAAAAAUCCGUAGGUGUUAGCCUUCGUAUUAUUGAAAAUGGUCGUUCAUGGCUAUUUUCGACAAAAAUGGGGUUGUGUGGCCAUUGAUCAUCGACCAGAGGCUCAUACACCUCACCCCACAUAUGUUUCCUUGCCAUAGAUCACAUUCUUGGAUUUCUGGUGGAGACCAUUUCUUGGUCAAAAAUCCGUAGGUGUUAGCCUUCGGUAUUAUUGAAAAUGGUCAUUCAUGGCUAUUUUCGACAAAAUGGGGGUUGUGUGGCCAUUGAUCAUCGACCAGAGGCUCAUACACCUCACCCCACAUAUGUUUCCUUGCCAUAGAUCACAUUCUUGGAUUUCUGGUGGAGACCAUUUCUUGGUCAAAAAUCCGUAGGUGUUAGCCUUCGUAUUAUUGAAAAUGGUCGUUCAUGGCUAUUUUCGACAAAAAUGGGGGUUGUGUGGCCAUUGAUCAUCGACCAGAGGCUCAUACACCUCACCCCACAUAUGUUUCCUUGCCAUAGAUCACAUUCUUGGAUUUCUGGUGGAGACCAUUUCUUGGUCAAAAAUCCGUAGGUGUUAGCCUUCGGUAUUAUUGAAAAUGGUCGUUCAUGGCUAUUUUCGACAAAAAUGGGGGUUGUGUGGCCAUUGAUCAUCGACCAGAGGCUCAUACACCUCACCCCACAUAUGUUUCCUUGCCAUAGAUCACAUUCUUGGAUUUCUGGUGGAGACCAUUUCUUGGUCUAAAAUCCGUAGGUGUUAGCCUCUAGUAUUAUUGAAAAUGGUCGCUCAUGGCUAUUUUCAUGGUCGCUCAUGGCUAUUUUCAUAAAAAUGGGGGUUGUGUGGCCAUUUAUCAUCGACUAGAGGCUCAUAAACCUCACCCCACAUAUGUUUCCUUGCCAUAGAUUACAUUCUUGGAUUUCUGGUGGAAACCAUUUCUUGGUUAAAAACUCGUACGUGUUAGCCUUCGGUAUUAUUGAAAAUGGUCAUUCAUGGCUAUUUUCGGCAAAAUGGGGGUUGUGUGGCCAUUGAUCGUCGACCAGAGGCUCAUACACCUCACCCCACAUAUGUUUCCUUGCCAUAGAUCACAUUCUUGGAUUUCUGGUGGAGACCAUUUCUUGGUCAAAAAUCCGUAGGUGUUAGCCUUCGAUAUUAUUGAAAAUGGUCGUUCAUGGCUAUUUUCGACAAAAAUGGGGGUUGUGUGGCCAUUGAUCAUCGACCAGAGGCUCAUACACCUCACCCCACAUAUGUUUCCUUGCCAUAGAUCACAUUCUUGGAUUUCUGGUGGAGACCAUUUCUUGGUCAAAAAUCCGUAGGUGUUAGCCUUCGGUAUUAUUGAAAUGGUCAUUCAUGGCUAUUUUCGACAAAAAUGGGGGUUGUGUGGCCAUUGAUCAUCGACCAGAGGCUCAUACACCUCACCCCACAUAUGUUUCCUUGCCAUAGAUCACAUUCUUGGAUUUCUGGUGGAGACCAUUUCUUGGUCAAAAAUCCGUAGGUGUUAGCCUCUAGUAUUAUUGAAAAUGGUCGCUCAUGGCUAUUUUCAUAAAAAAUGGGGUUGUGUGGCCAUUGAUCAUCGACCAAGCCAUGAACGACCAUUUUCAAUAAUACCGAAGGCUAACACUACGGAUUUUUGACCAAGAAAUGGUCUCCACCAGAAAUCCAAGAAUGUGAUCUAUGGCAAGGAAACAUAUGUGGGGUGAGGUUAUGAGCCUCUAGUCGAUGAUAAAUGGCCACACAACCCCCAUUUUUGUCAUGAAAAUAGCCAUGAGCGACCAUUUUCAAUAAUACUAGAGGCUAACACCUACGGAUUUUUGACCAAGAAAUGGUCUCCACCAGAAAUCCAAGAAUGUGAUCUAUGGCAAGGAAACAUAUGUGGGGUGAGGUGUAUGAGCUCUGGUCGAUGAUCAAUGGCCACACAACCCCCAUUUUUGUCGAAAAUAGCCAUGAACGACCAUUUUCAAUAAUACCGAAGGCUAACACCUACGAUUUUUGACCAAGAAAUGGUCUCCACCAGAAAUCCAAGAAUGUGAUCUAUGGCAAGGAAACAUAUGUGGGGUGAGGUGUAUGAGCCUCUGGUCGAUGAUCAAUGGCCACACAACCCCCAUUUUUGUCGAAAAUAGCCAUGAACGACCAUUUUCAAUAAUACGAAGGCUAACACCUACGGAUUUUUGCCCAAGAAAUGGUCUCCACCAGAAAUCCAAGAAUGUGAUCUAUGGCAAGGAAACAUAUGUGGGGUGAGGUGUAUGAGCCUCUGGUCGACGAUCAAUGGCCACACAACCCCCAUUUUGCCGAAAAUAGCCAUGAACGACCAUUUUCAAUAAUAC